UCAGUAGUCCAAGGCUUGGAAAGACUCCAAGAAAAGUAAUCAUUUUCUCUGGAAAAGAAAUCAAUCUUGAACGUCAGGAGCAGUGAGGAUUUGUUUGAGAUAUUUUAACCUAAAUUGGCUCAUCUCACACUCUGUCUAUAGGAGCACAAUAGAUGAACUUUGGGGAGAGUUGAUCCUGUCAUCUCAGCUCCUCACCCACAGACCUGGGUGGCCACAGCAAUCCAUAUGGCCCAGCAAUCAGAAUUGAUUAGGAAGUCCUGGAAUGGAAAGGCUGGCCAGGAGUGGAUUAGCUGCCUGGGUAUAGAAACAUUUGGGGCUCCUGUGUUCAGGGUAGCAGUCAUGCUUCUUACACUCCCAGCAAAGAGAAGAAAACCAACUAGCCAUUCCCGGGAUGAUCUGAACAACCACAGCACUCUAGCAGACAGCCUCUGCCCCAGUCUAGGGAAGUGCCUAUGUAGACAGGACUUCUCCACAGCAAUGGGUAGAUUGCAUGUCCUCAUGUCUGCCUGAUAGCACAGGGCCUCAAAACCCAUGUUGUACCAAAACCAGACUAAGGUAAGUCAGUCGGUGAUGUCACUGAUGUUACUGGUGAUGUCACUGAUGUUACUGGUGAUGUCACUGAUGUUACUGAGCCAACCUCCUUUCCAACUGUGCACACAGCCUAGACAACUCUCUCUGGAAACAUAUUAAUUCUCCGUGUCACAGUGAUGCUCUGUUGUUGGCUUCAUGGAUGUAGGCUUAGCUGGGUGUCCCUGUUAGUCCUCCCAGCACACAAGGCAUACCAACCGGGAUUGAGAUGCAAACAAUUGGUCUAUCCGGAUACUUUAUCUUUAUGGUGUCCAGAACCCUAUUGUGGAGGCAGGGAUUCCGACUUGGGGACUGCCUUCCAGCUUUCUUUCCUCGGCUGUGACAAAGGAGUGGUAAGCUGGCACGGAAAGUCUCGGGCAAACCCAUGAAUCAGUGAUGACACAGCACAUCUUGAAUCCACCGCAGGUGGUUGCACAGGUACCUAAACCUACUUAACAUAUGAAACCCCACUUCUACAGAGGCCUGUGGAAGGGACAGUAACCCUGGUACUCUUAUCAGAAGCCAUGGUGCAUCCUCAGGCUUAUUCUCAUUGUGAGUAAAGCUCCAAACCUUGCAUCCAGCCUUGAAAGAGCUUGUCUUUGGUCACAGGUGUCCAGCAUGGACUGUAACUCCUUGAGUCCUCAUCCGGUUCCCAGACUCUAUGGCAAGUUCCCACCUGUGGGGCUAUUUUGAAGGAGCGAGUAUAUACCUAAUUCCACAUACAAGUGGUACUGGGCAGCAAUGAUUACAGUCCUUUUGAUCUUCAUGGAGAGCACUCAGAUCUUAGCCUCCUAGCCCUUGCUCGCUUCCAACUCUACUUUAACUUGAAAGUGUGGCCUGCCCUCACCACCAGUGGGUGGCCUACGGAAUGCUCCCUCAGUUUCUGUGUGACUAUGGUACCCUCUUUUACACCUUUGGCCUAAGACCUUGUGGACAAGUGGAUCAAGACUUUGUGUAAGAUCAGUCCUGUCUGGCACUGGCACUCCCAUAGCAAGGACAUGACACCAUGACUUCCAACAACAAAUGUUUGUAAGUUCUGUAACUGUCUGAAGUCUCUCCAGGGGUGACAGCAUUUGGAAUAAGCACAAAUCUUGUCCUAGUGGUCAUGAGGGAUACAUGCACUAGCUGCCCCUGGGGGUUCUCCAGGCUCCAGAGCCAUCCACAGCAUCCAGCUGGAACAUACCCUCGAUGUCCAGAAAAUCCCUUUGCACAGUUAUCAAUGAGAAACACUUCAUAGGCAGGCACAGGCCAUGGUACAUGUUUGAGAAACAGUUCAAAUGAUGAUUUUACAAUCUGAAAUGAAAGGGACUGGGAGCAAGGCUCUGUGGGUAAAAGACCUGAGUUCUGAUCCAUAGCAGUGACACACAAAGCAGGGCAUGGGCUGUGAACACUCCUAUAAGGAGGCAGAAGGAUUGCUGGGGCUUGCAGCCUGUCAGCUUGGCCAAAUAAGCAACAGAGAAAAAAGUAAAAGCAAACAACAGUGAGAUCUAGGUUCUAUGACAGAGGGAGAGACCUCUCAAGGGAAUAAAAUGGAGCACACUAGAGGAGGACACCUACCACCAUUGCCUCCACACAUGCAUGUAUGUACGAGUACACCUCCACAUGCACAUACACACACAUGCACACAUGUGCACAUACACACAAUUAAACACAUAUGCAAGAGCACAAACAUGUACAGAUACAUGCAUACAUGCACAUGCACACCCACAAAUGUGUAUACACAUGCACACAUGUUCGUGCACACAUGUUCGUGCACACAUUCAGGCACACACAUGCACAUAUGUGCACGUGCAUUCACUCAUGUACACACACAUACUUAUACAUUCAUACGCAUGCACACACACAAACAUGCAUGCACUUACAUAUGCAAGCACACAUGCAUAUGCACACAUUCACACACAUGUGCACACAGGCAUGUACUACAUAUCUACACACAUGUACACACAUGCAUGCAUACACACACAUACACAUACAUGUGCACACAUGCACACAUGCACACACACACACACAAACACACACACACAAUCCAAAGCACCCUGGCUUAUGUGCUGGCUGCCUUACUGGCCAUGCCCUGUUUUUCUGCCUCUUACUCUGUCCCUAUGAAUCUUUGCCAUGUCUUUAUUCCUUGUAUUAAGGUCAUCGGGGUCUCAGUUGUAUUGUGCAUUGAUAAACAGCAACACUGCUUACUCAUGUCCUACUCAUUCCCUCCGUUCAUCUUCUCCUGAAGUUUUAAAUUAGCUUCCUGUGACCAUGUAUCUUUCCUAAUUGUUACUGCUGGUUAAAAUUCUUCCAUUGACAUGGUAGAGAAUGUACAGUGAAUUUAUUUGCUACUAUGAAUAGGUAAAUAGUUUGAGCCAAGUUUACCUGAGCAAAGUGUCUUUGGGUAAUAUCUCUGUCCUGAGUUCAGUCUGUGCGUGUGUGUGUGUGUGUGUGUGUGUGUGUGUGUGUGUGUGUGCCUCUGACAUCCUAAACUAGCCAAUCUCUGUCUCCCCAACUCAUUGCUGUGCUUUUAUAACGUUCUGAGUGUCCAUCUGUCUGCAUGCAUCUACCUGGAUGGGGUAGGAGCAGAAGCUUGGGAGGGCUGGAGGAAGCAUACAGAGGUGGGAACCUCUUGUGUUUGAGCACAGUUAACUCCUGUGGGAGGGACAUCUUCUACUGAGACACAGCCCCCUUGAAACCACUUUGUUUGCUGAGCUGUUUACAUAGCAUUCCCUGUGCUCAUGUGUUCGUUUGUGGGCUCCCAUCCUCUCUGUCCUCCUCACCCCAGCAAGAUAGAGGUGGCCCCUAUGUAAUCCGGGAAGGGCCGGAUGGGAGGGUUCUUGGCUAUGGAGCAUGGGUCAGCAAAGGUGUCAAUGCUCACUUAGAUUCUGGUCCUAUCACUGAGGUCUGUGAGGAGAAGCCCAGGACCCAGAAGCAGAGAGCCGCACCCUCCUACUGCCCUAGCACCAAACAGCUCAUUGUUAGUUUCCAGAUCUGAAGAGAACAUAAAGGGUGGAAGGUAAAAUAGUCAAACGCCUUCUCUCUCAGAAUCAGAGACAGAGACCUUUGGGGGCCACUCAUGGAAAUCUCUACACGAACCAAAGCAUCAUUAAUUCUGAAGAAGGAUGAGACAAUAGUCCCCAAGUGCAGAUAUUUCUAAAUGAGGCUGCAGCCAUCCCCAGAGAAGCUUCCAGAUAGAAUUAGACCAAGUUACCCAAUACUUCAGCUUUAUGGACCAGGAAGAGAGUGCCCAUGAGAGGUGGCGAAAUGUGUGGACUUAGAAUGUGGAGCCUAGAGAUAGACUCAUACCAGCAGGACAGGUAGUAGGCACCUACAUAUGGGUGUCUCAUCUGUUGCUGUGAACGACAUGGGAUCUUCCAGAAUGCCACAAAGGUGUUCUAGGUCCUCGUGGCUAGAACACACCUGGUUUUCAUGAGGGGCAGGUCUUACUGGAAAGUAUCUUUCUGCACUGUGUCCACUGGAGAGGAGGGAACUUAGCCACAGACAGGCCAUGAGGGAAACAGAAAGCUAUGAACUCCAGGCUCUUGAAUAGAACUCCUUGGGGAAGUAUGUGGUCCAUCUGUCUGAGUAGGCUGCUGGAUGGAGCCUGUCAGAGGACAGCCAUGCUAGGCUCCUGUCUGCAAGCUUAACGGGGUAUCAUUAAUAGAGUCAGGGAUUGGGGCUUACCCAUGGAAUGGGCCUCAAGUUGGGCUGCUUAUUGAUUGGCCAUUCCCUCAGUCCCUGCAUUUCUUAAAAAUGGGAUUAAUUUGGGGAGUUGAAAGUUCUGUGAUUGGGUUGGUGUCCCUAUCACUUCAAUGGGGUCCCUGCCUGGCUACAGAAGGUGGCCUCUUUAGGUUCCACAUCCCCAGUGCUGUUAAGGUCAAACCCCCACCCCUGCAUUUGAUUCUUUGAUGGGAAGGAAAGUGUUUAGAAGUGCCUUCUCUCCUAAGUGGUGUUUGAAGUUUGCAGAAAUGCUAUGGAGAGAUUCUCAAGGAAAAGGGUUGUUCACAUUGGCAGAGUGAUUACAUACUGGCCCCAGGGAUCCAUGGUCAAGAGCAAAAGGUUUUGCCUUACAGUCUCAGGAGUAAUACACUGACCCCAGUACCCUUACCCUGCUUCUUCCCAAUCAUGUCUUACAAAAGUGUUGAUAGCUGUAUCAGGAACUUCACUCAUUACUAUACCAAAAUGUCUGAUGGACACAAGUUGAUAGAAGAAACAUUUAUUUGGGAAUCACUGUUUCAGAGUUGCCCAUCAUGGCAUACAAAAAAACCCCAGAGAAUACUAUACCAGAAUCAGGAUGUAUAGAUCCUUCAAAACCCCACGCUUGGGGACUUAUUUCUGUCUUUAAACCUCACCUCUAAAGGCCUUAUGGCCUUUAAAAUAAUUCCUAAGCUAAGAAACAAGCCCUCAGAGCAGAGGACUCUGGGAGACAUUUGACAUUCAAGACAAACUUUCAGUUUUUAACUCCAGAAGGCUCAUGGUCUUGCUGCAGUGAAAAUGCAGUCAUCCCCCUAGACUGUCACGGUAGCUUCACAGUCUCAUAAAUGUUCAAGGGCCCAAAGUACCAAGUCCCUUCUGAGACUCAAGGAAACAGCUCUGAGUGUCCAUAAAUCCAAAAAGCAAGUUGCGUGCUCUGAGUAGACAAAGGCACAGACUGAACAUUCCCCCUUUGAAUGAAGGAAAUGAGAAAAUAGCAAGAAAAGACUGGACCAAAGCAAGAACAAAACCCAGCAGGACACACAGUAGGUCCUACAGCUCCAUGUGUGGCUGAUGGUGGCAUGAGGUAAACUCCAGGGGCUUAUAUAGCUCAACCUCUGGGUCCCUGCUGCCUCUUGUAUACAUGAACUCUACCUCAGGCCAACUUCACUCAAUGAGUGUGGCUUUCCUUGUGUUCUGGACAUCCCCAGCAUUCUGUAGUUACCUAGGCUUUACUGUUAAAGCUUUACCAAUCUCUCUGUCAGGGCUCCUCCACAUAGACUCCAAUUGCCUAAGCUCACAAGCUUUUCUCUGUUACCUUGGUGCUAACUUCCAUAGCCUUCAAAUCCUUUGCAUUCUGCAUAUCUUAAAAAAAAAAAAGCCCCUGCCAAAUAAUGCCACGUUCUGCUACAAGCUCAUGGUGGCCAGGCCCCUUUAACCAUGGCUGCAGUGGCCAUCAAGUUCUAAGGUGGUUGAAUAUAGAAAAAAUACUUCCCAAGACAGUCCUAUUUGAGCUGUGAGCCCCUGGAGCUCUGUUGACCAUGGACUCAACUUUAACUGCUACGUUUCCAUAUUUCACUCAAACUCUGAAGCUGUUCCUGUUGCCCUCACGCAAAGCUCAGAAGUUCAUAGCAACUUUACAUGAGAUCACCCCCCUUUCCUUCCAAACACUAUUUGCCAUUCUCUCCUUUUUUGCCCUUUAAACUCUUAGUAUAUAAUCUGACUAGAAACAGCAAAUAAUAACCACUCCACAGCCUGUGUAUUCAGAUAUUUGAAAUUUCCUCAUUCAAGUAAGUUAGUCCAUUACUUUUAAAUUUAGCUCCUCUCCAAUGUUUAAAAAACGGGCAAACGUAGCCAGAUAUUUUGCAGAAUCUAACACAGAUGGCCUCUAGUCCUAUUCUUAAUGGAGGUUUUAGUUUCUUCUGAAACUUUAUGAGUACAUUCCUUACCGUCUGACUUUCUAUCAGGCCUGAAUGCCCACCGGAUGCUAAAUUCUGCUUAGAGCAGUCGAGGUCUCUAGACCACAUUGCAAGCUCCUUCCAAGCCCAAAGCCGAAUAAUCACCCGGUCAUGCCUAUCCAGCCGCAACCCCACUUCUUAGCAUAAAUUCUCUUGAUCCAUUCAUUGUCAAGAAGAAAAGGUUUAUUUUGACUCCCAAUCAGAGUCAAAUCAGAGGAUUUCAGUCCAUCCUAGGGCAGGAGGAAGAGUAAAAUUCCAGAUGAUGGGAGCUUGUGACCGAAGUUUUGCCAUCAUGGUGGAUCAAGAAUCAGAGAGCUUCGGACCAGAAGAAACAAUAUAAAGAAUCUUUGAAGGCCCACUAAAAGGAUCCAGGCCUGUUAGCCAAAUCCUAUCUCAUAAAAGCCCCACAUCUUUAAUAUAGCACCACAGUUGGGGGAUAAUCUAUAGUGGGGCUCAGAGCAGCCAGCCAUAUAAACAGUAACACAGAGACUUCCUAAUAUUUAAAGCUUAGGCCUUGUGGGAAUAGGUGUGUCCUUGUUGGAAUGGGUGUAGCCUUAUUGGAGUAGGUGUGUCCUUGUUGGAGUGGGUGUGGCUUUGUUGGAAUAGGUGUGUCCUUGUUGGAGUAGGUGUGUCCUUGUUGGAAUAGGUGUGUCCUUGUUGGAAUGGGUGUAGCCUUAUUGGAGUAGGUGUGUCCUUGUUGGAGUGGGUGUGGCUUUGUUGGAAUAGGUGUGUCCUUGUUGGAGUAGGUGUGUCCUUGUUGGAAUAGGUGUGUCCUUGUUGGAGUGGGUGUGGCUUUGUUGGAAUAGGUGUGUUCUUGUUGGAGUAGGUGUGUCCUUGUUGGAAUAGGUGUGUCCUUGUUGGAGUGGGUGUAGCCUUAUUGGAGUAGGUGUGGCCUUGUUGGAGUAGGUAUGGGUUUGUUGGAAUAGGUGUGGCCUUGUUUGAGUAGAUGUGACCUUGUUAGAGGAAGUGUAACACUGUGGGUAUGGUCAAUGAGACCCUCCUCCCAAACACUUGGAAGUCAGUUUUCUCCUAGCCGCCUUCAAAUGAAGAUGUAGAACUCUCAGCUCCUCCUGCACCAUGCCUGCCUGGAUGCUGCCAUGCUCCCACCUUGAUGAAAAUGGACUGAACCUCUGAACCUGUAAGCCAGCCCCGAUUAAAUGUUGCCUUGGCAUGGUGUCUGUACACAGCAGUAAAAGUCUAAGACAGGCCUUUCAAUGAGGGCCAUCUCCCAGCUACUCUAACCCGACUAAUCCUGGCACCACAUUCCACCAUGUGGCCAGCUCUAUCUCUAUGCCUCAGCCCUGGUCCAUCCAUUCACCUGUGUCCUCUGGUGGAAUCCCUUGCAUCUGUCUGGUUCUUCUCCCAGCAUCCCUCUCUCUGCUCUGCUAUUGGCUGUCAGCUCCUUAGUACAGCCAAUCAGAUACAAUUCUAGAUUGCCUCAGGCAGGUGAGGGAGAAUGAAUAUUUACAAAAUAUGAGGCUGGUGAUGGACCAUAGAAAUAAUGACGCCAAGAUCCUGCCAGUGUUUAGCUCCCUGAUGGUACAGAACUAACAACUGAAUAUAUAGAGACCUACGUAUGCACCACGUACCCAACGAUAAUCAUUCAAGCAUGAGCCUAGAAGUGACAUUUCAGGGAGAGCCACGACAGCCACGUUCAUCAGCAGGAGUUGGGAGAGGUCACAAUACUCACAUGAAGUCCAUCGGCACGGUCUCCUCAACCAUGCCUCUGUCUCUAUAGCUGUGCCCAGCCCUCACCCCCAUUCUCCCCAACCUGCUCUUCUAUAUCUGUUGGGGUAUCUGUCUCACCACGCUCACGGGGACACGAUGUAAGGUGUGUCACAGGUUCCAAGAUGAUCAAACAGCUCUGUCAUCCUGGGGUUCUUUCCAUUUAUCCACCCAGUUUGAGGACUCUCGGUCCUUAGCAUGACAAAGAGCUUCUCAUGGAAUCAUACACUUACUACAAUUCUGGAUCUUAAAUGUUUUGUUUUAGUCGGGCUUCUUUGACUUUGCUCAGUCGGGGAAGUGGAGGAGCCAGUUAAGGUGGAAUGUCCGGUAUUACCACCCAGCCUCACAGAUCCAUGGGGAGGGUUCUAUGGCCGCUGCCUACCCUGAUACUGUCUGGUGCCUUCUUCCUCCCCAGCAUGCUGAAAGGCCUCCUUCUGAGUACACCAGGGUCAGAACCCACGGUGAAAGACAGGAGCAGCAGAGAGGCUCACACCAGCCCAUCAGGAUCACAGUCCCAGCUCCCCAGUGACCUUAGAUCCCCACUGGAGGACCAGGUACCUCAUGACAGCUGAUAUGGAGGCUGAGGAAGAUGGAAGGACUUUCUGACCUCGUUACAGGGAUAGUUCUAACUUAUCCGUGUUGUUUCACUUGUGUAGAGAAGUUACUACCCUUAAGUCUCCCCUGUAAGGCUAUCCAUUCGUAGGUCCUCAGUGUCAUGACCAGGUCUUUGAGGGAUGUGUUCGAGCCUGCUUGUGCCUCAAAAAACUCAUUUCUUUACCCUCAUGUUGGGAUGUGGAGGCUGAGGUGACGCCAGGAUGGUGCUGAGCAGUCUUUCUCCUCUCACUGGAAAGGCUGAACGUUAGGGAGGGUUUCCAAGAGGGGGGUGUUUGGUUUGGGUUUCAGUGAUGAAAUGCAACCCAUAAUCCUUUGCUUGCUGGAUGAAUGCUCUACCUCUGAGAGAAAGCCCUUCCCUUUGGUCUUUAUGUCGAAUGUGUGAUGCUCAGGACUAGUGUUACGUGGCGGGAUAAGCAGAAGAAAGCUUCUCCAUCCCUCUGUACUAAAAGCAGAGUCUCCUUACCUUGGAGACUUUAGGGUUUUGGGGAGCCAAGACUCAAUCAUCCAAGUGUAUUUCCAGCUUACAGAACACUUCACAGUCUUGCUCUGUGGAUAUUCAUACCACAGGUUCUGGUCCCCUCUCUAAAACUGCACUAGGCCGCCCACCUCAGUUCAUCUUUGUUUUUGAGUUGCUUUGCCCCUUCUACAGUGAGAAAAUUUAAAGUGGUGUUUUAGUUACUCAUCCCAUGGCUAAGGUAACCUCAACAAAGGCAAGACAAGGAAAGGUUUAUUUGGACUCACCGCUUGAGAGGAAAGUCUGCCGUGGAAGGAAGGUAUCACGGUAGGACCUGUGAGGCGACUGGUCUCCCAUUAGCCAGGAAACACAGGGAAAGGAAUGCCAGUGUUCAAUUUACUUUCUUCUUAUUUGAUUUAAGAUCCCAGUUCAUUAGUGCUUCAACAUCAGGGUGGGUCUUCCCUCCUUGGUUAAACAUCUCUGGAAGCCACGUCAGAAGCAUCCCCAAAGGUAUGCCUCCUAAACAAUUAAUCCAAUCUAGCAGACGGGGAAUGCUAACCAUGGCUGACAGUGACAGGAAGAUACUUUCCUUGCCUUCUAAUAAGGAAAGCUUUCACUUUCCCUGGGACGCAAGCCACCGUGUUUUAGUCCCAUAGUCAUUAUUUUUAAACACACAUACACACAAAAAAAUUAAUUUAUUUACCCUGUCUUUUAACCUUCUGAGACAAAAAUAUCCUGUAAAUCCAUCAAGAUGCCUUGAGUAAGUGCCUCUCUGCGUGGAGCUCCAUCCUCGGUGACACUGAUCAAGGCAAAGAGAAUCGUCCCCAAACCUAAAGGCACUGCUCAACCCAAAGUUGAGCAGCUGAUGUGAGUCUACCCUGCCACUCUGUGCUGUGCCUGAGGCUUCUGGACUCCGAUCCAACUGUCAUCUACCAGACCAUGAGAUUCAUGCCACUGUCACUGCUAUAUGCCCCCCCCCAUUUCAUAUAAUACUCAAUCCCAGCGCUGAGCAGCCAUCCUGUGUAUCCAACAAAAGAAGCCCGAAGCUCCCAGUCUCCGAGCACACUAGUGCUAAGUGAUGAGGGACCGACCGGGGCUAUGCAUAUGAGAACAUCUAAGCUGGGAGGAGACAGAGCUCAGAGGCAGAAGUGAGAAAGGAUUACUGAUGAGCACAGGGUCUUGCCAGACUGCUCUGCCAGGAGGCAGGCAUCCUCCUCGGUUCGGCUUUCUACAGCAAGGCCAUGGCCCUGAGUCAGCCACAGACACUAGCACAGCUCUACCCUCCCCAUUGGCACAGCUCUGCCCUCCUCAUUGCCCAUGUGCACGAGCUGAGCUCUUCUCCAUCUGAGGCACUGGAGGGUGUGCUGGGCUUUUCCCCCCGUAAGUGUGACUCCCCAACAAAGCAGCAGCAUGCCCAGCGUGAUCUGUUCCCUGGGUGCAUCACUGGGCCCUACUAUGGGAAGCACUGCAUCACCCUCACUACCUUAUGAAUCCAGAGCUCCAAGAGGCAAGCACUUCUUCCUGCAGUCACUCACAAUGGUUUGUUCUGAAAAGCCCCAAGUUGGAGGAGGGUGUAACCUCCAUAAAAGCCUAUAGGUGACACCUUCCCUUCCAUUUGGACCUCGCUCUCCAAACAAUAGAUGGAUUCUUUCAGAAGUUUGCUUCUCUCCCUCACAGGAUGACCCAGGAUGCUCACCAUUUACCUGUGUGGGUGUCUAUGAGUUGAGGGAAGAGGGGAGACACUGAGAAGUCAGGAAACAUCUGUUCCAAAUGGCGUCCCCAGAAGGAUUUGGAGUACCAGUGACUUGGGUUAUCUUUGCAGUUAGGGAAGAAGGGAACACAUCCCAGGAUCCCUUGCUCUGCUUUCUAUGAAGACAUGGAGACGUGCGGGCUUUAUUUCCCAUCUCCCAGCCCCGGGUGCCUCUGUGAUGAAGCCUUGACGGUUUUGGCUGCCCUUUCUCGACUUCUGUUGUUUUCUGGGGCUCAGUGGGAUCAGUAUUCUGUGCCGUGGCAAGACAUGCCAACAAAUUGCAUCACUUCUGCCUCGGUGACCAAGGACAAUGACAUGCCAUAUGCCAGCGGCAGGAAAUGAAUGGGGCUCAUUUACACUGGCACCGGGUGAUGCGGCCAUCAGCUUCCUGAGACUGUCUGCAGCAAAUUGGAAGGUGGCAGAGAGGCGGAACCCCUGGGCUCCCAGCUACAGGACAGAGAAGGUGUGGUUGGAAGUACCUGGUCCCACAGGGUGGGGUGUCCUUCCUGGAGGAACUUAAGCCUUCCCGUCUCCGAGGAGGCCCUGAAUCAGGUCAGCAUCUGCUCCCUGCACUGAAGGGAAAGAAAGGGACUGGGUGUAGCAAUGCCUUCCAGCUGCUGGACAGAACAAAAACUCAGUGGGUGCCGUGCACAGAACAACUGAAGCAUUUGCUUGUGCAAGCGGCCUGCCACAAAAGCUUGCCCUGUCGGUGACCCCAUGCCUGGACCCCACCCCGUGACGGCAUAGCUCACACCAUCCGACCUCCAGCCUCUAUGGCAUCUCCUUGUUUAUCUUCACACAUGGACUCGGGGACUCAGGUAAUGAUUAAAGAGCCGGUGCUCUGGAGACCUCAGUAGCUAAUGAGGAGAUCGGGGGGUCACCCUCAGAUGGCAGCCAGCCAAGAGCUCACCCAUCGCCACUGUCCCUUGCACUUGUUUCAGGGCAGUGAGGAGACAGAUAGCAAUCAUAUGGCCCCCUCUUCUUAAUCACCACAAUUAACCAUUGUCAGAGGUAGGUGAGCAUGGGGUGACAUCCUGGCAAAGUGACAAAAAAAAAAAAAACCCACCUAAUAUAUUUGGCAUUUGUGAUGACUUCUUAUCUGAUCUGACAAUGACCCAGGGAGAUGUAAAAACCCAUCCCUUCUAUCCUUGGGAGGCAUAACCUCAAGUCUACAAAGAGCUAGAAUGAGGUGACAAGGCUCAGCUCUCAGGACACCACAGCAGGAACCAGCAGUGCACUGAGCAUAGCCAAAAGUUCUGGUCUGAAGCCACCAUAGGCUGUCCCCUGAAGCCGGAGAACACCUACAGCUGAUACUGAGAAACAAGGAAAGGUGUCUCGGGCUUCCAGGCCAUGGGACAUUAGAAGCAGCUAACGGCAGCGCCUAUUCUGUCUGGCCUCCCAGUCCAGCCUUUCUCCAGACAGGACCCCUUCCUUAGAAGUGUAAUUGGAAGAGAGAGCAAUGCCCACUGACCCGUUUCUAAGCAUAACCUCAAGAAAGAUGGUACCCUACUUGCCGCGGUGUCAAAGAACAUACUGCCUCCUGUGUCCUUCAGAGGAAUCCAGGGUGUCAAUUUCUCUGUGGCUGACAGAAAGACGCACAGCAUCUAGCUCACUCCAGCUUCUUUGCUGGGCCCAAGAUGUUUUCACAUUCCAGGUUUUCCCAGAGAAGCGUGCUUCUGGGAUGAAGGGAACAGGGGCAUUCUGUACAGUAUGACUUCAAGAGAAAGAGCUAAGCCCACAGCCACAAUUUCUGCACUUAACCAUGUUCCCGAGUCCUGACCUAGAACCAUAGGGCACACAUACAUACACACAGGCCUGAUACACACACAAAACUUUCAAGGGGCCUUGUUCCCUGCAACAGAGAGCUGUGCAGAUCUAAAUGCCCUUUCCUGAUAAUAUCAUCGUUCAAGAGAUUGUUGGAGUUCUCCCUCCAAGCACACUAUGUGCAUUUCUAAAGUGAGGCAUUUUGGCUUCUGAACAUCAUUUAAAAAGUAAAAUAACCAGUGAGUUCAGAGUUUGCAGUUAAGUCUUAAUCUGCCAACUUUAAAUUUUCAUUCUCUUGUGAAGAUGUGAUCGUUAGUAUAUGUGAUCUACUUGACAGGACCGAGAAUCACCUGGAACACUAAACUUGGGGCAUUGUCUAUGAGGAAAUUUCUAGAUUAGGUUAACUGAGGUGGGAGGACCCCCACUGUAACUGUGGGUGGCACCAUUCCCUAGGCUGUGAUUCUAGAAUGAAUGAAAAUGAAAGUAAGCUGAGCACCUGCUGACAUCUCUCUCUGCUUCCUGACUUCCAAUACAGGUAACCAGGGUCUCUCUUUCACUAAGCUGGACUGCACCUUGAAACUGUGAGCCAAAGUUAACCCUUUCAUAACAUGCCGUUUACACUUAAUUUUUCACAGCAACCAAACAGGUAACUAAUACACAGGGUGGGGUAUGCAGAUCACAGGCCAUCACUGACUACUAUCCUUUACUCUGCUCCUUAGACUCUGGAGCCAGGAAGCUCAGUGCUUGGGUCUGCUGCAAACUGCUGGAAGCGUAAAUGGGAAGAAAGUUCUCUCUGCAUAGCUCACAGCUCUGCACUGAUCUCAGCGCUGUCGGAAGUGUGUACCGGGAUUCCGUCUUUCUCACUUGUUUUCUGUGCUCAGGGCUGUUGCAGGCAAAGGUCUUUUGCUAACGAGGCGAGCAACGGGAGAUGGUGAGAGUUGGUCGAUGGCAGUUGAGAACAGGACAUGAAAAGAUGUUUCCAUACAUUGCCGAAAGAGAAAGAGGAGGAACCAUCAGAGUGUGGGAGAAGGAAUGAUGCCCAUGACUGAUCCAAGGAUGCUCUGGGUGUUAGCUCCAGCAGACAGUGCUGGGUGCAUGCUUGCUCAGCGCUUGUAUAUGCUGACCCCUAACCUUGCUGACCCAACCCUUGCAGAUAGAAGUCCCUAACCUUGCUAUCCCAACCCUUGCUAAUGAUGACCUGUAACCUUUCUAUUUCAGCCUUUGCAGAUGUGGGCCCUUGACACUGUAAUCAUCUUUGUUAGGUGUGCAAAAGAUGACCCUCCGAACCAUAUGAACACAGUUCUGGGAACUGUGCCCUCUAUGUUCAAACUAAUAUAAACAAGAAUGUAAGGAAAAGAACCCCACCAGAGUGUCAUGAACACAGGCUGACCAUUUGGAAUAUGGAUGAAGGGUAUCCUUGUUUUAGAAAUGACCCAGCAGCCAAUUCAACCAGACAGUUGGUAUAACUGACAUUUAUCUAGUGCAUGGAAUCUGUUAGCUUUUUCUUCUUUCUUUCAUUCAUCCUUCCUUCCUUUCUUUUUUCCUCUUUUCUUUCUUUCACUUUUCUUAUUUCUUGUUUUCGCUUGAGAUGAAUCUGGCUGUGUACUGCUGGCUGUCCUGAAACUCAAUCCUGCAGAAGAAUCUCGUGCUCUGUCCCCAGGGCUAGGCUGGCUGAUAGAAACCACCACGCACUGUCCACUGAGUAGUUCAUUGAGCUCAUCUUCCAGAAUGGUGGCACUAAGACCCCCACCUAAUUUUUUUUAAAUACAAGGUAGAAAAUUAAAUAACCACUGGAGAAUAGCCACAUGUCUACUAUCCUGGGACGUGCUGCCAGUGCUUUGGAAGGACUUUGCUGAAUAAGAGCUUCCUUUUUUCAAAUUGUCUCUGCAAAUAUCUGAGCUCCAUCAAUGUGCCCCAAUGUAUAGUCAGUGAUGUGUUUGUCAUUUCCACAAACUUAAGGGGGGACUUACCCAUCAUGGCAGAGGACUAAGCAUAAGAUACAAAUAACUACAGCGAGACAUGAUGGUAAGAAGUAAGGAGAGAGAGGCUGCCUCCACAGUACACAGGGAAGUCAGCAUCCUGAAAUCCCAGGCCCUAGACUGACCCAGCUCCCGGAGGUGAGUGACAGGCAGAUGCAUAGGGCAUCCUCUGGACUCCACUUCUUUUUUUUUUUUUUUGUUUCUUUUUUUCGGAGCUGGGGACCGAACCCAGGGCCUUGCGCUUCCUAGGUAAGCGCUCUACCACUGAGCUAAAUCCCCAGCCCCUGGACUCCACUUCUAAUCCAUCCACUUUACCUUGGCCCAUGCUAUACUUCCUGGUACACACCCUCUGGCUUCUCAUAUGUGUGUGAUGUACCACUAACAAUCUGACAGCUGAUACCAUGAUAGACACCAGGACUCACCCUAGGUCCUCCUACACAGGUUACAGGGAGUGUAAGAGGUGCUCCCAUGAGCUGUGUCCCACGAAGCACAUCAUGUCUAUGCUCGUGGGUGUGGCUCGGGUUUUCAACAGAGCAGACUCAUCAGCCAACCAUGUGUGUGGAACUGAAGGACUAAGGUUGGUCUGCAGAACAGUGAGGCUGAGCUGCAGACAGAGCUGGGACCUCAGGGCUGGAAUAAGUACAGAUACCACAACCUACUGGGGCCCUGACUUGGAGGUACAGGGACUCUUGAACAUUGGACACUCCCCUACUACUUUAAGAUAUUAAUUUCUCAUAGAACCCAAUGUCAUGGUGGAGCAAGGUCAACAUUCUGUUCUUUCAAGAAACUUGGGACAUAAAACUCCUGCAGGCCACUGCCUUGGAUGUAUGGCUCUUAGUGGGAAAAACAAGCUCACACCAUCCAUCAGGACCUUAGGAGCAAGUGGUGCUAUCAAAGAGGCAAAACAAAAGAAGUUCUUGGAUUUCUCAUUGCCCUCUUUCCUGGCUUGAACUAUCAUACAUCACUUGCUGCUAGUGUAGAUCACUUACUCAUAUUAUACAUUUACAAGAGUCUUACCUGCUGAAACCUUCCCUAGUGAUGUCCAAUCCUACCUAGCUCAGAGCUGGACUACAGAACAUCCGUCAGAGAGCACAGAUAUUUACAUUAUGAUUCAUAAUGGUAGCAAAAUUACAGUUAGGAACCUUUAUGGUUGGGGGUCACCACAACAUGAGCAACAGUAUUACAGAGUCACAGCAUCAGGAAGGUUGAGAAGCACUGCUUUGAACAAUAAAACCUUUCACAGUCAACAGCUACAUAAUAACUGUGCCCAUUGAGACUUAGCCUCUGUAGACUUUUAAGGGAGAACUUGUAGCCAGAGCUGUGAGAGCAGCAUGCCUCUCUCCUCAGCCUGGCUCUUGCUUGAGGUAGUCAUACAUUGCCAUAGCAACAUAGGUAUGCAGUAGACGCUUUCUUGAGUGAUGGAGACAUCUGAGGUGCCUGGUAAGGAGUUGGGGAUGAAGAAAGCCACAUCCACCUUUUUCUACUGUAUAAUAGAUUCUCCCAAUGGAUUGAACAAUGUCCCCUCAAACCUGAACCCCAGCACCUGUAAGUGCAGCCUCAGACCUCGUCUAAAACAUCCUCAUCCCUUACAAAGGGUGGGGUCCAUAUUAGCCAAAAUCAAAAUGUGUCUGGGGUCAAUAAAAGGUGAUUAUAGGCACACAGGCACAGGGGAAAGCCCUGUGAGGAAAAACUCAAAGUUAGAGCAAAGUCUCCUUGAUCUAAGCCAAGGAGAGAAAUCUCACAGAGCAUCCUUGUCAGUGUCCAGAUCUUAAACAUUUCAGACUGAAGAACCGUUGAGAUGUUGAGGAACUAUUGACAAGAUUUGUGACAAAGGCCCCAGUAGGUCACUAGCACAUAGCGCAAGAAACUCUGGCCCAUUCAUAAUUGACAACGGAGUCAAAGCAGCUCCUGGAAAAAUAACCUAGUGGGAGAGCUGGUCCGGGUACCUCACCCAGUGGUCCCAGGAUGAGAAUGAGGUUACCUAGGUUACAAUUUGUCACCCUCAGAAGCUUCCCAGUUCCAAGGGUAUAUAGCACCCACCUCUGUCUUCUCUGUAAGCCAGUAGUUCUCACCUGUGGAUCGCAACCCCUUUAGGGGUCAAAUGACCCUUUCACUGGGGUCACCUAAGACUGUCUGAAAACAAAUGUAUUUACAUUGUGAUUCAUAACAGUAGCAAAAUGACAGUUAUAAGACAUAAUAUCUUUAUGGUUGGGAAUCGUCACGACAUGAGGAACCGUAUUAAAGGGUCGCAUCAUUAGGAAGGUUGAGAAUCACUGCUUCAAACAAUAAAACCUCUCUCGCUGUCAGUAG